rnacentral:lncRNA from 1 species
AAAGUGAUGUAAUAAUUAAGAUCAUGUAAAGAAAUGUGUUUUGUGUAGCGUCGACGUUUUUCAAAUUAAAUUUUGGCAUAAGUAUUUAUGAUUUUAUCUGUGUGAUGAUAUUAUCGAGAUAAGUUCUCAAAAUGCUUUUUUAAGAAAAAUGAUGUGUUCUUUUAAAAUGGAUAUAUGAGUUUCAAUUUUUUUUGGAUAAGUUCCAAAAUUAAUAAGAAUUUAAUAAGAUUAUAAUAUUUUUAACCGACACUAGUGAUGAUUACGAGCAUAGCGAAGUUUUCGAUCCCGUUAUGGCGGGGAUAGUGUUU